CCUACGGGUGGCAGCAGUGGGGAAUAUUGGGCAAUGGACGCAAGCCUGACCCAGCAACGCCGCGUGAAGGAUGAAGGCCUUCGGAUUGUAAAGUUCUUUUCUCAGGGACGAAGCAAGUGACGGUACCUGAGGAAUAAGCCACGGCUAACUACGUGCCAGCAGCCGCGGUAAUACGUAGGAGGCAAGCGUUAUCCGGAGUGACUGGGUGUAAAGGGCGCGUAGGUGGGACGGCAAGUCAGUUGUGAAAACCAUGGGCUCAACCUAUGACCUACAUUUGAAACUGUUGGUCUUGAGUGCAGGAGAGGCAGACGGAAUUCCUAGUGUAGCGGUGGAAUGCGUAGAUAUUAGGAGGAACACCAGUGGCGAAGGCGGACUGCUAGACAGCAACUGACGCUGAGGCGCGAAAGCGUGGGGAGCAAACAGGAUUAGAUACCCGUGUAGUC
rnacentral:rRNA from 1 species